rnacentral:rRNA from 1 species
CAGCACCUCAAGUGGUCAGGAUGAUUAUUGGGCCUAAAGCAUCCGUAGCCGGCGCUGUAAGUUUUCGGUUAAAUCUGUCCGCUCAACGUACAGGCUGCCGGGAAUACUGCAGCGCUAGGGAGUGGGAGAGGUAGACGGUACUCGGUAGGAAGGGGUAAAAUCCUUUGAUCUAUUGAUGACCACCUGUGGCGAAGGCGGUCUACCAGAACACGUCCGACGGUGAGGGAUGAAAGCUGGGGGAGCAAACCGGAUUAGAUAGCCGAGUAGUCC